rnacentral:lncRNA from 1 species
AUCUAUGCAGUACUCUAUCUCUUGAGGUUCACCUAUUAGUGUGGCCAGAUUGAUGGCCAGAUUGCACCACCGUUCGAUGUACUCGAUCGCUGGCUCGUGUGGCUUUUGUUUCACCUCAAAAAGUUCUAAGAGUUGGAGUUUCCUUUCUAUGUCACAGAAGCGCUUAAGGAACUCUUCCUCCAUUUAUGCCCAUGAUGAGAUUGAUC